AAAUGGACUUCACAUGGUGGGUGUCCCGGAGUAAUGAAAGUGGAAUAAAGGGGGAUAAAAGUAAGAUUUAGAUAAGCUAUAAGGAAGAAAGGAAAUAAGAUUUUUUAAAGUACAAAGAUUAUCGAUGCAAAUUUAAUUACUUUGAUCCACAAACCCAGUACACUAAUUUUGAUCAUUCUACGUGGAAAAUGCAAACAUGAUUAAAGUUUUCUGUGAAAUAACUAGAUGGCACUUUCUUGAGGUAGAGAAUGUUGUCUCUACAAGGCAGUGAGGUAUUAAGAAGGUGUUCACUAAAGGUGUUGAUUGAUGGGCAAAGAGUCCCUUUCCUCAGUAUUUCUAAUUAUUUUAUCUGGAUUGCACCAAUUGAAGAGAUAAAAAUAAGGAAAAGAAAGACAGGAUGUUUAUGUUACAAUAACAUAAAACUCUGUUGCUCCUGAAAAGAAAAGAAUAUGGGUGUAACCUGUCAAGUUCUUCAAACUUAGAAAAUGUGUUCAAUAUACAGUGAUAUACGUAUUUCCCACAGUGUUUUUGUAUUUCCUUUGAGCAAUUCACAGUAAAUAGAUUCAAGCUUUCUCAGUUAUGUCUCAAAAUCCCAAUUCUGAUGUGGCUUUUUAUAUUCCCCAGUGUUGCCGUGUUUCCAGACCUUUCAUUUUUCUUCCAUCUUAUCUCAAGGCUGAAAGAAGUUUAUCAUAUUAUUAGACAACAGAGCAGAACAAAACAAUACAUCAAGCCUCAGCACUUGGUAUUGCUUUGCAGAGAAAACCAGGUAGGACAAAGAAAGAAAAACAGAAUGCAGAAAGGGAAAAAUAAUUGGCAUUUUCUGAGACCAACAAGUUAUUCUCAAUUUGGCUAGCGUAAAGAAUUCCUGAAAGAGAGGAGGAGCAACAGUGAGUGGUCUACCUGGAAACCUCAUCAUAGUUAUAAAAAGAGAAGGCAGGUACAUUGGGAAUAAAGGAGGAGACUGCAGUGGUGAAGAAUUAGGAAUACUAUAUGUAACAUUUUGAAUAAAAGAUGUUUUUCUUCAGAUAUGCAAAAUUUUGUUCCAGUUUGUUUGACAUAAAGCUUAUAGACUCAAGUCAAACUGCUCAAGACAAGAAGAAAAGCUUUGUGAUACUGAAAGAAGCCAAAGUCCUUUAAAAUCCUUUCAGUGUGUGGAAUACAUUUCAGGGUUGCUUUCUCCUGGAGCCAGCCAGCUUAUGCAUACUAAAGUUGUCCAGUUUUAUUUUCCACACCAAAUGCAUUUGAAAUCCUUGACGACACUAUAUACAGUAAAAAAGUAGAAUAGGGCUCUUAAAGUGGUCUAAUAUUUUGUUCAUAUUGUCCUUUAAAUUUAAAUAGCAGGAGUAAACAAGAAGUUCAAUGUUCCAUAUGUGAAUUUCAAAGACACAAAAUUAUAUUUUUCUGUGGUGUGGUCCAUAUGUUUAGACUAGAGCUUUUCAUGGGUGAGGCAGAAGACAAUAAAUGGAGAGUCAUAUUUUAUUUCCUUUCUCAACUGUAAAUGAUGUAUUCCUGUGUUGUCUCCCGUUAACUACAUCUACUAUAGAAAAUAAAUCAUACUUAUUGCUCAUCUUACAUUUUUGCUGAAUUUCACAUAGAAGUUUCAGUUUCCAUGAAAAAUACAGUGCUACUAACCUCAGAAUGCUCGUUAUAGUUAUAUCAAAAUUUACCACAUAACCAGGAUUUGAAACAUUAGUAUUAAUGUUCCAUUUAACCCUGUCAUAUAUUCAAUUACAUUAUUGAAAAUUGAUGUAGCAAGAGACAUGUUCAAAAGGAAGAUGUUAUUGCCUAUUGUUGAAAUUAAAACCUCAAAGGGGCCAAGAACAUACAACUGGGAAAGGAUGGUCUCUUCAAUAAAUGGUGUUGGGAAAGCUGAAUAACCAAAUGUAGAAGAAUGAAACUGAACCUCUCUUACCAUAUACAAAAAUCAAAUCAAAGUUGAUUAAAGGCUUAAAUCUAAGACCUGAAACUAUGAAAUGACUAGAAGAAAACAUUCAGGAAACAACCCAGGACAUUAGUCUAGGUGAAGAAUUUUGUGUAAAACCUAAAAAGAACGGACAACAAAACGAAAAAUAGACAAAUGGGAUUACAUCAAGCUGAAAAGCUUCUGCUUGGAAAGAAAACACUCAACGAAGUGAAAAUAGCCUACAGAAUGAAAGAAAAUGUUUGCAAACUAUCCAUCUCACAAGAAAUUAAUAGCCAGAAUAUAUAAGGAAUUCAACUCAAUAGCAAAAUAAUAAUAACAAUAAUCUGAUUGAAAAAUGGGCAAAAGACCUGAAUAGAUAUUUCUCAAAUGAAGAAUACAAAGUUUAACAUACUUCUAUGAUUAAAAACUCUCAAUACAUUAGGUAUUGAAGGAAUGUACCUCAUUAUAAAAACCAUAUGUGACAAGUCCACAGCUAACAUCAUAUUCAAUAUUGAAAAACGGAAAGCUUUUCCUCUAGGAAUAAGACAAAGAUUCUCAUUCUCACCACUUUUAUUCCAUAUAUUACCAGAAGUCCUAGACUUAGCAAUUAGGCAAGAAAAAAGAAAGGCAUCAAAAUCAGAAAGAAAGAAGUAAAAUUGUCUGUUUGCAGAUGACAUGAUCAUAUAUGACACAGUUUAGAUGUUUGUUCCUCCAAAUCUCAGUUGAAAUGUAAUCUCCACCACAGAGGUAGGAGGUAUUUGGGUCAUGGGGCCAGAUCUCUCAUGAAUGGCUUGGUGCUGUCCUCAUGAUAGUAAAUGAGUUCUCAUGAAAUCUGGUUGUUUAAAAGUGUGUGGCACCUCCCUCCCUCUCUCUUUCUUCUGCUCUUGCCAUGGGAUGUGCCUGCCCCACCUUCACCUUCUACCAUGAUUGUAAGCUUCCUGUGGCCUCCCCAGAAGCUGAGCAGAUGCCAGCAUCAUGCUUCCUGUACAGCCUUCAGAACUGUGAGCCAAUUAAAUCUCUUUUCUUCAUAAAUUGCCGAGCUUUAUGUAUCUCUUUAUAGAGACUUAAGAAUGGACUGAGACAAUAUGUAUAGAAAAUCCUAAAAACUCCACCAAAAGUCUGUUAAAAAUAAAGUUUUAAAAAUAAAAACAAAGAUAUCUGAAAUUAGUAGAAAAUUAAAUAUCUAUAUAUGUAAUGAAAGAAAUAUUUUCUCCCCUAAGAACAAAUUUACAUAUCAUAAUGGCAUACCAUAUACAGAAAAAAAAAUGAUUCUGACCUAUCAACAAUAUAAUCUAUUCUCAUAAAUUAGCGACAAAGAAUUAGGAAUACUAUAUGUAACAUUUUGAAUAAAAGAUGUUUUUUCUCAGAUAAAGGAAGGGUCUCAUGUAUGUCUAAGUUAAAAAUGUAAGUCAUGUAGAAUAAAAAUUAAUUUACUUGGCAUCAAACAUUUUUACAACAAUCUCCAAUACUAUGAUACAGGAAAGCAAUAUUUUUAAGUUACGAGGAAAACAAAAUGACACUAAAAAAAUUAGUGCCCAGCCAAAUUUUCCUUUCUGUAUAAAAGAAACAGACAAGAAAAUUUCCCUGUAAGUCCUUUCUGAAAUAAAAGUAUUUUGUACUAAAAAAAUUUUUGCUGUGGAAAAUAUGAGUCUAUGAGAUCCAUUUAUGUACAGCAUUGAGGCUAAUCAACUAUGAGAAUCAUGGUAUCAAAACGGAAUCUUUGUUGUAAAACUAUGUGCUCAUCAAUUGUGCCAAUGAAAUUAAUUUCUAGUUCUGUUGAAAUCAAUUAAUUUGAAGUAUAAUAUUUUAUUAAAAUACGAACAUAUAGCAUAAUCCCAUUCUUGCAAUAUUACCAUCUCAUCCUUCUGUUAAAUAUUUAUUCUUCUAUUAAUAUCCAGAAUCAUGUACACAAAGUGGUUAUGUUUGCAUAGUAUAUUUUUGUUAGUUUUUAUUAAUUCUUUUGGUUCUAUGUUAUUUCAAUUUUUGUAUUUAGCAUAUUAUAUUUUAAAAACUUAGUGGAAUUAUUUUUAAAAUAUAAACACAUUUGUUAAAUGAAAACAAACAAACAAAAACCUAAGUACAUGUGUUAUCAGUCCCAUACUUGCUCAGUCUACACAACCUGGUCAUAUAAAAUGAACCACAGAGCAAUGAUAGAACUGUGUAGUGAGUAGAGAUUUACUCACCCAGAGUAACAUUGUGGAAGUCUAAAACACAAGGAAUGAAGGACAACAAUCAAUAUCUGUUUCUCAAACUACAAACAUACAGGAUGACCACUCAUUCAUAAAAAUGGUAGUUUACAUUUAAAUAAUACGCACACAUGAGUCAUUGAAAACAGAACUGAAAUCCUUGAUUGCUACAAUUUCUUGAUACAAAAGAUUUAUUUUGGGAAUGCACAUUUUAUAUAAGAAAUUAGAGCAUCAAAAUUCUAAUGCUAAAACACUAAAGAAUAAUACAAACCAAUGUUUAUCAUUUCUGAACCAAUAUUCUGCUCACAACAUUAAUAACAACAGUGUAAGACACUUCUACUUUUCCAAUGUGCGUGAGAAGCGAAGGAGUGGUAUCAUCGUUUCCAUAAAUCUGUGGCUAUUCUAGGUAAUGUCUAACUACAAGAAAUGAUAUUUGUAAAUAUAUUACUUAUAAAGCUGUAUACUAUGAUAUUCGCAGGAAUAGACAUUAUUUAAAUAGAGACUAUAUCUCUUAUUUACACAAAUCAUUAUGGAAAACUUUGACUAAAACUGACCCUCAUUAUGUGAUAGGGAAAUCCUGUUACAUAACAAAAUAGUUAGAGACCCAAGCACUUUAACAUUAACUGAGAGGCACUAAUUAUUUUAAUGAAGGAAGAGGACUUAAGUUCCAAUAAUUAUUGUUGAAAAGUAAUGCCCCAAAAUAUUUUAAUCAAGUCAUUCCCAUAUUUUACUCAUAACAUAUAUAAAAAAUAAGUUACAAAAAAGUAUUACCUCAAGUGGUUCUUAGUUGUUUUGAGUAUAGAUUCUGAGGUUUUAAUAAACAUAGCUUACUUUUAGCAACUGAAGUUCAUUAAACAGUCAAGGUCUAUGCUUUAAGGUUUCUAUUGAAUGUACAGAUCCAUAGACUCAGGUCUUCUGUUUAUUAAAGUAAUUAAAAUGUACAUAUCACUAUACCCUUAGUAGUCCAGUAGUCUCCAUGUCAUUCUAGAGUUAAUGAGUAAAAAAUGGGGAGGGGGUUCUCAACAAUUCAUUGGACUCAGCCCACUGCCUUGUGCAGAUUUGUAUUUAAACUCUCCAAGUUGGUUAGCUUUAAUUCUUGCUUCUUGUACCUCUAGAGAUAUGUGCUCAUAGGUUCUCUGCUUUAAACAGAAAGAAUAACUAUGCAAUUUUUUAUUUAAAAGAUGAAUGAUGCACUGACCAUUUGAAUCAAUGUUGCCUUUUCUCUUAUAAACUAAAAGUAAAAUCCUAAGCCCCCAUCAUGUAAACAGACCUCCUCUUGGCCAAGGUGACCCCGGAGAAACCUUAAAAACUGAGUUCCUGGCCGUGACAGGCAAGGAGAUCAGAUACUCCUCGUUGUAACCACUCCCCUUUGAAAUUUAGACAAAACUGACCAGAAUUAAUGUUAAAAUAGAGAUCAUAAGACUGAUAAAAUAGAUUAUUUUUGGCAAUAAGAUGCCAAAUUAUUAAUAAGACCUAAGGCCAUGCAAGGCAAGGGUUAAGUCAUGCCUGUAGCCCAAUAACCUUGCUGAACAGGUCAUAUUUGCCUGACUCUGAUGUAGCAUUUUUAUCUUAACUUAAACAUUCUUUUUUGCUAACUCCUAGUGUUUAGACACAAUUUUGUUCCUUUAGUCAGUGUGUAUUUUAAAAAAUCUCUGAAUCCACCUGUAAUUUGUAAGCCCCUGGUUCAAGAUUUCCUGCCUUUUUGGGCUAAACCAAUGUAUACCUUCCACAUACUGAUUUAGGUCUUUGCCUGUAACUCCUGUCUCCCUGAAAUGUAUAAAACCAAACUGUAAUCCACUGUCUUAUGUAUACUUUAUCGGGACUCUCUGAGACUGUUUCUGUGGGCCACAGUUACUCAUGUUGGCUCAGAAUAAACCUCUUCAAAAUGUUCUAAAGAGUUUAGUUUUUCGGUUAACAUUUUUUUUCAUUUGGCUUCCAAACAUUUUACAUUUGUGCUCUUUUCCUCUCUCUACCACGGAGGUAACAUUUUCUUUCAUCACAUUUUUCAUAAGUGAUAAAUAUAUUCUUUAUGAUUCUUGUAUAUAUUGAGUACUUUAUCUCCUUUACAUAUUUCAACAUCCACAAUUAUUUUCCUGUAUAGUUUUGGAAGGCAGCUAUGCUAACCACUAUACCACCAACGCAGCCUAUAUAGCUUUGACUCAUUAUAGGUAUUUUGUUGUUUUUGUUUUUUGAAUUUUGUUUUUGAGACAGGGUCUCCCUCUGUUGCCCAGGCUGGAGGGCAGUGGCAUCAUCAUGGUUCACUGCAGUCUCCACCUCCAGGGUUCAAGCAAUCCUCCUACCUCAGCCUCCCAAGUAGCUGGGACUACAGGCACAUAGUACCAUAUCCAAAUAAAUUUUUUGCUUUUUAGGGAUGGGGUCUCACUAUGUUGCCCAGGCUGGUUCAAC
rnacentral:lncRNA from 10 species